AUCAUGUUGUAUUUAUUACACUUUGAUUGAAAAUAGUAGUUGGCCAUAAGGGUGCAUGUUUAUUUCUGGGGUCUGUUCUGUUCCAUUGUCUGUCUGUUUUAUGCCAUGGCCUUAUAUAUACUUCUGUGGUAUGUCUGUGGUUCUGUGCUGUCUCUUCAGAUAUUAUUAUUAUGCUUCCAGAUUGGUUAUUUUGGAUCAGGAUUGCUUGGACUAUUUGAGAUGUUUUGUGCUUUCAUAUGAAUUUUAUGAUAUUUUUCUAGUUCUGUAAAGGUCAUUGGUAUUUUUGAUGGAGGCUGCACUGAACAUAUAGAUAUCGUGGACAUUUUAAUAAUUUUUCCAACCCAGAAACCGUAAACUCUUCUUUAUUAUCUUCAAUUUCUUUUUCUUCUGAGUUUAGUAGUUUUAAUUUUAGUUGGUUUUCAUUUUCUUGUUCAAAUUUAAUCUUAGGUAUUUUGCUUUUUUAUAGUUUUGUGAUGAAAUUGUUUUCAUCAUUAUCUUCAGAAAUUUUAUUAGUGCUAGAGAAGCCAUUGAUUUUUUUUUUUUUUUUUUUUUUUUUUUGAGACAGGUUUCUCUGUGUAGCCUUGGCUUCCCUGGAACUCACUCUGUAGACCAGGCUGGCCUCGAACUCAAAUCCCUCUCCCAAAUGCUGGAAUUAAAGGCGUGCGCCACCACUGCCGGCUUGAUUUUUUUUUUUUUUUAAUGCUGCAAUUUUAUUGAGUUCACCAGUUAUAAUGGUCUUUUGAUGGCAUCUUAGUUUUUCUGAGUAUCUUAUCUACAAACAAAGAUAGUUUUACUUCCUUUCUUACUUGUGUGCCUUUUCUUUCUUUUUCUUGCCUCCUUGGCGCCACCUUGUUUCUUUGUGUGUUGAAUAGGGAAUAAGAAUGGAAACCUUUGUUUUCUUCUGAUCUUAGAGGAAUUCUCUGUUCAAUGUGAUAUUGACUGUGGGUUUAUCAAGUCUAGCCUUUGUUAGUUGAGACCCUUUUAUUCCUUAUUAAGUUCUCCAUCGAUUAAGUCUAGAUUCUCUUUAUUUAAAUGUUUAGUUGGGUUUAUUUUUAUGCAUAGUCUGUGUAACUUAAAAUAGCUGUUCUUACUCUAUUUUAUAUUUUAGUUUGCUUUUUUUUUCUAUUUUGUAUGCGUCUUUAGCC
rnacentral:lncRNA from 1 species